AUUACUAAGUGUGCUAAACACUAUUUAAUCUACAAUAAAAAAGCUUUUGUCAUAUACAUAAAGUGAUCAAUUUCUUUUCAAUUUAUUACAUGCAAAAGGUUGCAAUAUAUGGCUAAACUUAUGAAGUAUUUUUUUGUUAUAUUCCACCUCUUUUCCCUAUUUAUUGUUGCAAUGAAUGUUGAAGAAAUUAUUCCUUGUGUCGAUAACUCUGAAUGUCAUAAGAAAAUGUAUUGCAAGCUUCCUAAACUUCCACGGUGUAUGGAUCACAUAUGCAAAUGUUGUAAGCCAGGUAUUCCCGUUAUUAGAUAGAUGUACAAGACCAAAGUCAGUGCAGAUAUAUUCUACAGAGAAGAAUGACUUCUUACACUAUAAAAAGAUCUAAGAAAUGUUGGGUUAAAUAGUAUUUAUCCCAUGUAAUGUUAGCGAAUUUCUGUUUAUUCCUCCUGUAAUAUUUUUUUCGAUUACACCCCUAUAAUGUUAAAAUGUGGCUUUGAUAC